GGUAAAAUGGCUGAGUAAGUAUUAGGCUGUAAACCUAAAGAUGGAGGUCUAACCCUUCUUUUACCA
rnacentral:tRNA from 1 species